rnacentral:rRNA from 2 species
GGUUAAGCGACUAAGCGUACACGGUGGAUGCCCUGGCAGUCAGAGGCGAUGAAGGACGUGCUAAUCUGCGAUAAGCGUCGGUAAGGUGAUAUGAACCGUUAUAACCGGCGAUUUCCGAAUGGGGAAACCCAGUGUGAUUCGUCACACUAUCAUUAACUGAAUCCAUAGGUUAAUGAGGCGAACCGGGGGAACUGAAACAUCUAAGUACCCCGAGGAAAAGAAAUCAACCGAGAUUCCCCCAGUAGCGGCGAGCGAACGGGGAGCAGCCCAGAGCCUGAAUCAGUGUGUGUGUUAGUGGAAGCGUCUGGAAAGGCGUGCGAUACAGGGUGACAGCCCCGUACACAAAAAUGCACAUACUGUGAGCUCGAUGAGUAGGGCGGGACACGUGGUAUCCUGUCUGAAUAUGGGGGGACCAUCCUCCAAGGCUAAAUACUCCUGACUGACCGAUAGUGAACCAGUACCGUGAGGGAAAGGCGAAAAGAACCCCGGCGAGGGGAGUGAAAAAGAACCUGAAACCGUGUACGUACAAGCAGUGGGAGCACGCUUAGGCGUGUGACUGCGUACCUUUUGUAUAAUGGGUCAGCGACUUAUAUUCUGUAGCAAGGUUAACCGAAUAGGGGAGCCGAAGGGAAACCGAGUCUUAACUGGGCGUUAAGUUGCAGGGUAUAGACCCGAAACCCGGUGAUCUAGCCAUGGGCAGGUUGAAGGUUGGGUAACACUAACUGGAGGACCGAACCGACUAAUGUUGAAAAAUUAGCGGAUGACUUGUGGCUGGGGGUGAAAGGCCAAUCAAACCGGGAGAUAGCUGGUUCUCCCCGAAAGCUAUUUAGGUAGCGCCUCGUGAAUUCAUCUCCGGGGGUAGAGCACUGUUUCGGCAAGGGGGUCAUCCCGACUUACCAACCCGAUGCAAACUGCGAAUACCGGAGAAUGUUAUCACGGGAGACACACGGCGGGUGCUAACGUCCGUCGUGAAGAGGGAAACAACCCAGACCGCCAGCUAAGGUCCCAAAGUCAUGGUUAAGUGGGAAACGAUGUGGGAAGGCCCAGACAGCCAGGAUGUUGGCUUAGAAGCAGCCAUCAUUUAAAGAAAGCGUAAUAGCUCACUGGUCGAGUCGGCCUGCGCGGAAGAUGUAACGGGGCUAAACCAUGCACCGAAGCUGCGGCAGCGACGCUUAUGCGUUGUUGGGUAGGGGAGCGUUCUGUAAGCCUGUGAAGGUGUGCUGUGAGGUAUGCUGGAGGUAUCAGAAGUGCGAAUGCUGACAUAAGUAACGAUAAAGCGGGUGAAAAGCCCGCUCGCCGGAAGACCAAGGGUUCCUGUCCAACGUUAAUCGGGGCAGGGUGAGUCGACCCCUAAGGCGAGGCCGAAAGGCGUAGUCGAUGGGAAACAGGUUAAUAUUCCUGUACUUGGUGUUACUGCGAAGGGGGGACGGAGAAGGCUAUGUUGGCCGGGCGACGGUUGUCCCGGUUUAAGCGUGUAGGCUGGUUUUCCAGGCAAAUCCGGAAAAUCAAGGCCGAGGCGUGAUGACGAGGCACUACGGUGCUGAAGCAACAAAUGCCCUGCUUCCAGGAAAAGCCUCUAAGCAUCAGGUAACAUCAAAUCGUACCCCAAACCGACACAGGUGGUCAGGUAGAGAAUACCAAGGCGCUUGAGAGAACUCGGGUGAAGGAACUAGGCAAAAUGGUGCCGUAACUUCGGGAGAAGGCACGCUGAUACGUAGGUGAAGCGACUUGCUCGUGGAGCUGAAAUCAGUCGAAGAUACCAGCUGGCUGCAACUGUUUAUUAAAAACACAGCACUGUGCAAACACGAAAGUGGACGUAUACGGUGUGACGCCUGCCCGGUGCCGGAAGGUUAAUUGAUGGGGUUAGCGCAAGCGAAGCUCUUGAUCGAAGCCCCGGUAAACGGCGGCCGUAACUAUAACGGUCCUAAGGUAGCGAAAUUCCUUGUCGGGUAAGUUCCGACCUGCACGAAUGGCGUAAUGAUGGCCAGGCUGUCUCCACCCGAGACUCAGUGAAAUUGAACUCGCUGUGAAGAUGCAGUGUACCCGCGGCAAGACGGAAAGACCCCGUGAACCUUUACUAUAGCUUGACACUGAACAUUGAGCCUUGAUGUGUAGGAUAGGUGGGAGGCUUUGAAGUGUGGACGCCAGUCUGCAUGGAGCCGACCUUGAAAUACCACCCUUUAAUGUUUGAUGUUCUAACGUGGACCCGUGAUCCGGGUUGCGGACAGUGUCUGGUGGGUAGUUUGACUGGGGCGGUCUCCUCCUAAAGAGUAACGGAGGAGCACGAAGGUUGGCUAAUCCUGGUCGGACAUCAGGAGGUUAGUGCAAUGGCAUAAGCCAGCUUGACUGCGAGCGUGACGGCGCGAGCAGGUGCGAAAGCAGGUCAUAGUGAUCCGGUGGUUCUGAAUGGAAGGGCCAUCGCUCAACGGAUAAAAGGUACUCCGGGGAUAACAGGCUGAUACCGCCCAAGAGUUCAUAUCGACGGCGGUGUUUGGCACCUCGAUGUCGGCUCAUCACAUCCUGGGGCUGAAGUAGGUCCCAAGGGUAUGGCUGUUCGCCAUUUAAAGUGGUACGCGAGCUGGGUUUAGAACGUCGUGAGACAGUUCGGUCCCUAUCUGCCGUGGGCGCUGGAGAACUGAGGGGGGCUGCUCCUAGUACGAGAGGACCGGAGUGGACGCAUCACUGGUGUUCGGGUUGUCAUGCCAAUGGCACUGCCCGGUAGCUAAAUGCGGAAGAGAUAAGUGCUGAAAGCAUCUAAGCACGAAACUUGCCCCGAGAUGAGUUCUCCCUGACCCUUUAAGGGUCCUGAAGGAACGUUGAAGACGACGACGUUGAUAGGCCGGGUGUGUAAGCGCAGCGAUGCGUUGAGCUAACCGGUACUAAUGAACCGU